AGAGUUUGAUCCUGGCUCAGGACGAACGCUGGCGGCGUGCCUAAUACAUGCAAGUCGAGCGAGCUUGCCUAGAUGAUUUUAGUGCUUGCACUAAAUGAAACUAGAUACAAGCGAGCGGCGGACGGGUGAGUAACACGUGGGUAACCUGCCCCGGAGCGGGGGAUAACAUUUGGAAACAGAUGCUAAUACCGCAUAACAACAAAAGCCACAUGGCUUUUGUUUGAAAGAUGGCCUUGGCUAUCACUCUGGGAUGGACCUGCGGUGCAUUAGCUAGUUGGUAAGGUAACGGCUUACCAAGGCGAUGAUGCAUAGCCGAGUUGAGAGACUGAUCGGCCACAAUGGAACUGAGACACGGUCCAUACUCCUACGGGAGGCAGCAGUAGGGAACCUUCCACAAUGGGCGCAAGCCUGAUGGAGCAACACCGCGUGAGUGAAGAAGGGUUUCGGCUCGUAAAGCUCUGUUGUUGGAGAAGAACGUGCGUGAGAGUAACUGUUCACGCAGUGACGGUAUCCAACCAGAAAGUCACGGCUAACUACGUGCCAGCAGCCGCGGUAAUACGUAGGUGGCAAGCGUUAUCCGGAUUUAUUGGGCGUAAAGCGAGCGCAGGCGGUUGCUUAGGUCUGAUGUGAAAGCCUUCGGCUUAACCGAAGAAGUGCAUCGGAAACCGGGCGACUUGAGUGCAGAAGAGGACAGUGGAACUCCAUGUGUAGCGGUGGAAUGCGUAGAUAUAUGGAAGAACACCAGUGGCGAAGGCGGCUGUCUGGUCUGCAACUGACGCUAAGACUCGAAAGCAUGGGUAGCGAACAGGAUUAGAUACCCUGGUAGUCCAUGCCGUAAACGAUGAGUGCUAGGUGUUGGAGGGUUUCCGCCCUUCAGUGCCGGAGCUAACGCAUUAAGCACUCCGCCUGGGGAGUACGACCGCAAGGUUGAAACUUAAAGGAAUUGACGGGGGCCCGCACAAGCGGUGGAGCAUGUGGUUUAAUUCGAAGCUACGCGAAGAACCUUACCAGGUCUUGACAUCUUGCGCUAACCUUAGAGAUAAGGCGUUCCCUUCGGAGACGCAAUGACAGGUGGUGCAUGGUCGUCGUCAGCUCGUGUCGUGAGAUGUUGGGUUAAGUCCCGCAACGAGCGCAACCCUUGUUACUAGUUGCCAGCAUUAAGUUGGGCACUCUAGUGAGACUGCCGGUGACAAACCGGAGGGAGGUGGGGACGACGUCAGAUCAUCAUGCCCCUUAUGACCUGGGCUACACACGUGCUACAAUGGACGGUACAACGAGUCGCAAGCUCGCGAGAGUAAGCUAAUCUCUUAAAGCCGUUCUCAGUUCGGACUGUAGGCUGCAACUCGCCUACACGAAGUCGGAAUCGCUAGUAAUCGCGGAUCAGCAUGCCGCGGUGAAUACGUUCCCGGGCCUUGCACACACCGCCCGUCA
rnacentral:rRNA from 1 species